UGUUCAUUGUAAAUAUCGAAA
rnacentral:piRNA from 1 species